CGCGUAGGUGGUAGUGCAAGUCUGGGGUGGAAUCUUAGGGCUUAACCCUAAAACUGCCUUGGAAACUGCAUUACUUGAGUCAGUGAGGGGAGGGUAGAAUUCCUGGUGUAGCGGUGAAAUGCGUAGAUAUCAGGAGGAAGGCCUGUGGCGAAGGCGGCCCUCUGGCGCUGAACUGACACUGAGGCGCGAAAGCGUGGGUAGCAAACAGGAUUAGAUACCCUGGUAGUCCACGCCCUAAACGGUGGGUACUAGGUGUAGGGCUCGUAAGGGUUCUGUGCCGAAGGGAAACCAUUAAGUACCCCGCCUGGGGAGUACGGCCGCAAGGUUGAAA
rnacentral:rRNA from 1 species